rnacentral:tRNA from 1 species
GCAACUGUAGCUCAGUCUGGUAGAGCGGUAGGGUGAAGUCCUACGCGUCGGGGGUUCAAUUCCUCUCGGUUGCACCA